rnacentral:rRNA from 1 species
GACGAACGCUGGCGGCGUGCUUAACACAUGCAAGUCGAACGGAAAGGCCCCUUUGGGGGUACUCGAGUGGCGAACGGGUGAGUAACACGUGAGUAACCUGCCCUUGACUUCGGGAUAACUUCAGGAAACUGGGGCUAAUACCGGAUAGGAAUCCUUGCUGCAUGGUGGGGGUUGGAAAGCUUCGGCGGUUUUGGAUGGACUCGCGGCCUAUCAGCUUGUUGGUGGGGUAGUGGCUUACCAAGGCUUUGACGGGUAUCCGGCCUGAGAGGGCGACCGGCCACAUUGGGACUGAGAUACGGCCCAGACUCCUACGGGAGGCAGCAGUGGGGAAUAUUGCACAAUGGGCGGAAGCCUGAUGCAGCAACGCCGCGUGCGGGAUGACGGCCUUCGGGUUGUAAACCGCUUUCAGCAGGGGCGAAGCUUGUGGUGACGGUACCUGCAGAAGAAGCACCGGCUAACUACGUG